rnacentral:lncRNA from 1 species
GUUGAUCUUCUCCAAAACUCAACCAGCUAAAGCCAUAAACGACCACCAAACUCGCCAGAAAAACUCCAGCAGCCAUCCACCCUCACCACACCGGAAUCCGACGACCAUACACAUAUAUACAGCAUCUGAAGGCGACGCUUGAGAUUAGGAGUUGAAGCAGAGCCGGUUCCAUCACAGCACAGACUUCCCCCAUCGGAAAACUCUCACGCCGCAACAAAUAAAAACCAAAUGACCCUCCAAAACUUCAUCUUCUUCUUCAUUUCUGAAUACACACACACAGAAACGGAGACAGGGAAACGAAAAGGAACGAAGAGGGGAGGUAGAGAACAAAAAUGAGUAGCUUUGGUCUUCCCUCUUUGAAACCAGCUUUUUUUUCAGUUUGAUUUAAUUCGGAAAAAUAAGAAAGAAAAAUUCAGCCCCUGUUUUGACUCUUUGUUCAUGAAAAUUGAUUGAGAGGUUGUUGAGGUCGGAGUCUCGGCCGUCGUUCCUGUCCGACUGGGUUUAUGAUUUGGAUUGAGGCGAGUUGUUGUUCGAUUUCUGCGUUUGAGCGUGUCCGAUUUGUUGUUCGUUGGUCGCGGCUGUUCAAACUUUCAGGUGUUAAACAGGUUCAGAUUUGAAAUUGUUUUGUUUUGAGAAUGUUAUAUUUACAGAAUGCUCAUUUCGUUUGUCUCUUUCUCGGUUAGUCCAAUAUUUGUUAGUGAGUUCUUCUUAUUUAAAUUUUGUUUGUUAUACUUUGAUGUUUCUGUUCAUUGGUCUACUAUCUGGAUGUGUUCAUUUUAUUUUGUUAAAUGAAGACUAAUGAAUCUCUAAGAAUAUUGAGUUGCUGCUGGCAGAUAUCUCAAAUAAAAUAAUUAUAGUUUAGGGUAAUCUUUAUUAAUUUUCUUUGCCUAGCUUUUGUUUCAUUCGACUAAAAUAAGAGUAUGUGCAAGCUACGGGCUGGCUUUUAGAGAUAUUGGAAGUAGAUGUUGGUUUAUGCCAUUCUUCAGCUGAGUAUAAAUUUACAUAGAAAAGGAUUGAGGCUUGUCAUGUCAAGUAAAAUCUCAAAACGCAUGGCUCUCGCUUAAUUAUCCUUUUAAAUCCUCAUAAAUUUGGAACAUGCCGUUUACGAACUUUCCGGCUUCCCGCAAAGAUAAUUACAUGUUAGCCGCUUUAGGCUCGUCAUUAAUAAUUUUAUCUCCUUAAAUACGGGUGCGUAUUUAUGUGACCCAAAUCCAAUAUGUGACGUGGUUUGAGACGUGUUUUAACGACGUUGCAACUCUCCUUAAAAAUAAUAAUAAAAGUGGUUAAAAGAUUAAAAAUGCACAUAGGUUCAUAAUUGUAUAAAAUCAGAUACUUUAAACCAAAUAUAACAGUUGAGCCACCGUACUAGAACCACGGAACCCUAACGCCUUCUCUCGGGUUAACACAAUUCCUUACCCGGAUUUCUGGUUCUCGGACUGUUAAAUAGAGUCAUUCUUUCCUCAAUUCGGGAUUCUAACCGGUGACUUGGGACACCAUAAAUCUCCCAAGUGGAGACUCUGAAAUUUCUUAAAUAAUUGGAUUCCGUCUCCAUUGUACUUUCAUUGGAAAAACUCUCUUUUUUACGCCCUUCGCCGAGUUGUGGAUAGCCUAAAGGAGGUGUGACAAUAGCGAUCCAGCCCAUGUGUUAGAUUUUAGCACUGUCCAGUUGGACAAGGACAUAUCUUAUGAGGAGGAACUGUUAGCUAUUCUACACCGGCAGGUUCGUCAGUUGAGGUCUAAGAGAUUUCCUUCUUAUUGUGACCAAUGUGGAGGUUAGCAUCCUGAGGCAUCGACUUGGGAAUUCGAGUCUGAUAUGUGGAGCCGUUAUCCUCAUUUUUUCCUGACACAGGCACUUCUCUCUUUUGUUCGUUCGAGGGCAAACGGUUAUUUUAUUGGCGGAGGAUGUGGGUCAUCACUUGUUUUCUUACCUAUUCUGUACUUUCGAGGCCUUGAAAACCUAAUCUAAGGUUGCCUCGAUUUACGUGCGCAGUUCGGGCGCGUAGUCAGAAAGCUUAGAUAUGAAUUCUGUGAGAAAAUUGUAAUAUAUUGAUAUUAAAUUGAAUAAAUUUGACUUGAUAAACAGACCCGGACCCGUGAUUUGACGGUCCCGGAGGGCCUGUACGAAAAAUAUGGGACUUGGGCAUAUGCCUAGAAUUGAAUUCCGAGGUCUCAAGCCCGAGAAAUGUAUUUUUGCGUGAAAUUAUUUUCUGAAAAUAAUUAAGGAUAUUGGAAGUGAAAUUUGAUUAAAAGAUUAUGGUAUCGGGCCCAUAUUUUGGUUCCGGUACCCGAUAUAAGUCUUAUAUAUGGUUUAAGCGCUUUCUAUGCAGUUUGGUUUAAAAUGGACGUCGUUUGACGUGUUUUGGACUUAAAAUGGAAAUUUGAUGUUUUAUGAAAAUUUGGAGGAAAUCAUGAGUUUUGAGGCUUAAUUCGAUAUAUAUGAUGUUAUUUUGGCGAUUUGAUUACGUGACUAAGUCCAUAGGAUGUUUUUGAGGUUAUAUGCAUAUUUGGUUUGGAGCCGCGAAGGAUCGGGUGAGUUUCGGAUAGGCGUCAGAGUACAUUUUUAACCUUGAAAGUUGAUGAUAUGAACUGGCCUGGAGGCAUCGCAUUUGCGAAGCCUGCUUUGCAAAUGCGUGUGGCCCUUUGCAAUUGCGAAGUAAACCCAGGCCAGCCCUUCUCGCAAAAUGCAUGAAGAUAAUCAAUUCGGUCGUUGUGCGAGCAUUUCUUCACAAAUGCAAAAAAAUGCUCAGGCUGGCAGUGAUCGUAAAUGCGAUCGUUAUGUUGCUAAUACGACCAUCGCAAAUGCGAUCCUCACUUCACAAAUGCAAGGUCCCAUAAAUAGGAAGGGUUCGCAAAUGCGAACCCUGUUUUGCAUUUUCCAUGUUAGCAUAGUAGUUCGCAAUUGCGACAUCUGCAACUUGCAUUUUUAUACUUAGUCGAAAUUUGGACAUUUUUCACCACAUUUUCAAAACACAACCCCUUUAGGCGAUUUUCCAAGAACAAGACCUCUUUAAAAUCGUUUGUAAGUUGCUUUUUACUCAUUUAUUUCAAUCUUUAACAUUAUUUAUCAUGUUUUCAACUUAAAAUCAAUGAUUUUCAUGGGCAAAAUUGGAGAUUUGGGGUAGAACCUAGAUUUUUCAAAAUUGGCGAUUUGGACCUCAAUUUGAGGUCCGAUUUCAAAACAAAUCAUAUAUUUGGGUUCGUGGGGGAAUGUGUAGCCGGAUUUUGGUUUGAACUUCGGGUUUUGACCAUGUUGGCCUGAGGGAUAUUUAGGUCAGUUUACCUAAAUUUGCAUUUUAGCUGUAAAUUAAAUAGUAGAAUUAGUUGCUUGAGAUGUUAUUUACGAGAUGUAAUUGAAACGAAUAGAUUUAGGCCAUUUGGAGUCGGAUACUCGUGGGAAAAGUGUGGUUUCAAGUUAAAUUUGGAGUCUGUUUGAGGUAAGUGGCUUGUCUAACCUUGUGUGGGGGACCUUCCCUUUAGGAUAUGAUGUUUGGUAACUGAAUGCCUCGCACGUGAGGUGAUGAGCACGGACUUGAGCAGAUUGUUGGAAAUGUGUUUUUACUUGAAGUAUUUAAAUUGAGUUUUCUUGCUUACCUGUUCGUUUUGAAUUGUAAAUUUAUUCUUUGCUGGUUUAGAAAAGCAUGUUCAUUUGACUUGCUUGCCUAAGUGUUUAAACUAUCUUAUUUGUACUCUGCGUAAUAUGUUUGACUAGUAUUUUCUAUUUCAUGUCCCGAGUUAGUAUCUAUCCUAAUGUUUGGGUUGCUAUUAUGUAUUUUUAAAAUGGGACUACGGGUUGGCCUCCCAGGAGAUCCCCCUGCACUUGAUAUGUUCUGGAUUGAAGGUGCGGGAUGUCAAGAGAUCCCUAGUACAUGAAAUUGUAAGAUUUGAGGAUACCAAGAGAUCCUCGGGAUACCAAGAGAUCCCCGGCAUAUUAAAUUGUAAGAUUUGAGGAUACCAAGAGAUCCUUUCCAUAUGAAAUUGUAAGAUUUGAGGAUACAAGAGAUCCUCGUGAUACCAAGAGAUCCCUGGCACAUGAUAUUGUAAGAUUUGAAGAUACCAAGAUAUCCUCGGGAUACCAAGAGAUCCCCAUCACAUGAGAUUGUAGGAUUUGAGGAUACCAAUAGACCCUGGGAUACCAAGAGAUCCCUCGUUUAUGUGGUGAGGAUACCAAGAGAUCCCCCGUUGAGUUUCUGUUGUGAGUAAUAUUUACUAGUAUUGUCAUGCUCUUCUGUUUUCUAUUAUGGUUUCCGUAUUUAUCUUGUUUAGAUUCUUGAUGUACACUUUAUCUAUACUGUUUAUUUCCUCAUCUUAUUAUUUAUUAUGUUUUAUCUCAGUAGGGCCCGGACCUUUCGUCGUCACUACCCAACCAAGGUUAGGCUUGACACUUACUAAGUACUGUUGUGGUGUAUUCAUGCAUCUUUUGCGCAUGUAUUUCAUGUGCAGACCCAGGUACUUUAUCUCAAGCACACUAUCCUUGAGGCCAGAAGAGCUACGAAGACUUUGAGGUACUUCUGCAGCCUCCGCAGACCAAGGAGUCUCCUUCUUACUCUACUUGUAGUAUUUAGACGCCUUCCGUACUUUUGCUUUAGAUGUUCUGGAGUUAGAGCCAUGUAUUACUAUUCGUUAGCUUGUGUUCUUGUGAUUUUCCAGGUUUUAGGAUGAUAUUGUAGACUUCCGCAUUAUUGAGUUGUAUAUGCCGAGCGGCUUUUACAUACAGUUUCUUUUAGUUGCUUAGUUUUUAAUUAA